UCUUAUUAAGCUUUUUAAUUUUUAAUUUCCAUCUUUUAUAAAACAAGGGCAAAGUACACAAGCCAUCCAAAUGAGUGCACAAAACACUGUUACAGAGCCAAGGAUGAGAAAGCUGUUGAAACUGAUGACGCGUUGGCCAGCGGGCCCGGGGGGACGGCUGGAAGCAUUCGCUUGUGGAUGAUGUGUAGACAGCCAAGUCCGGGGUACAAAGGGCGGUCUGGAGGUGUCCAAGCAUGAUAUUAGCAAGCCCACCAUGGAUGUCGCACAGAAAUGACCCAGGCCGGUCCUGGCCACAGAGGGAAGGGCUGCCCUUCAGCACACCACCAAAGAGGGAUGGGUAAGAAAUAAGAAGGGUCUUUCCAACAGCUUGAUUUUAUGAAAUGAAGACUUUUUUUUUUUUUUUCAGUUUUGUAAACUGUAAAAAAAUUCUGUAUUGGGAAUGUUCUCGGCACUAUGUUGCAAUAGCCAUAUAUAUAUGUCUAUAUAUUAUCUAUUUUAAAGUAAGGACAAUUGUUACUUUAAGAAAAUGAUAAAGCCAUGAAAUCCACUAAUAUAUUUUUCAAUCAGGAGACUAUGUUCAGGGAUUUUCUCUAAGCUGCUUUUUUUUUUUUUUUAAGAGGAAAUCCCAACCCACAGAGCAGACAAUUUGCUUUUUCUUCAAACUGACAGGUAGUAUCAUUCUGUAUUAGAUGCUAGAGAACUCUUAUUAUGGAAUGUGCUUUUCCUUCUAAGGGGGAAAGCCCAGCAAAAUAAAAUACAAAGUAUUACGGAAAAAUGGCCCGAGGAAGCACCCAAGUCCCUGAACCCACUCGCAUGACCCAAAUCUCCAGAAACCUUUCCGAAGUGCCUGCGGCUCCCUGGCGAUGAUGCUAUGAGGAAUGCUGUCACUGAGGGCCUCCUAAGUGGGAGGGGAGACCCUUGCAGGUGGAGUCCAAUUCCUCUCAAGAGUUCCUGCCCUUAUCACACAGGAAAAAGGUCACUGGCGAAAGAAAAGCAGCUCAGUGCUUCAGGAUGGAUGUACGUCAGCAGACAGUGUGUCAGGUGUGGUAUCUCCAGAGAGUUCUCUCUCCAGCUGUUAAGCUUACCCGUGGAUGGAGCCCACCACAAUCCAGAGGGCAAAAACAGCAUUUGGUUUGUUUCAGAGAGCACCCCAAGCAGCAAGCGAGGCUCCACCAUCCUCCCGGGAAUGACACUCGGCAUCACAGCACCAAGCCGCCAGCGAUGCCACUGGCCCUGAGUUACAUUUGGAAGUUCUCCUUAUGGGAAAGCAAAGGUUUGUUCUCUUCUGCCUACAAAACUACAGGCAGUAACUACAACUAACAGGUAAGUUAUUUUUGAAAUGAUUCUGAACUCCGCCCAUUAUAAACCUCUUUUGUUUCUAUUUUCCAUGCUGAAUAUACCCCAAAAUGAAUCCUCUAGUCAAACACUAAGGGAAAUUACUUUCCUCUAGAAAUGAAAGAGAGGUUUGAUUUCACCUUCUCUCUGAUGGAGAAGUAAAUCAGAAACCCUCUUUAGUUUCCAUCAACUAAGUGCUAGAUUUAUAUAUACCUCUACUCUGACUUCCCUAGUGAGCUUGAAACUCACAUAUCAAAUUCCCAACUUGAUAGCUCCCCCUAGAUGUUCAAAGGCCAUCUCAAAUGUAACAUGGUCAAAGUAGAAUGUUUUGCUCUAACCCCCACUCCACUUCCCAACAAACAGGUGCACCUACAUCUUCAUUUGCAAAGCCCAAUCCUGGGCUAAACCAGCGUCCGCUGCCAUCAUCUCCAACUGGCACCAUAGGAACAAGCCCCAAGCACAUGCUGCCCCGCCUGUCCCUUUAAACAUCUCAUUCUCUCCUUGCUAACACACUUCCUAGAGGCCUUCUUUUCCAUUCCUUGGACAUUUCAAGCCACCGCCACCUCAGGGCCUUGGCACAUGCUCUUCUCGCCAUCCCAAAUCCUUGCUUGGCCGCAUCCCUCUUGCCAUUCAAGCAUUUAAGGUGUGGCCCGGUCAACUCCUCCAGGAAGCCGCCUACUCUGCUCCCCGCC
ensembl:lncRNA